CGUUGUAGGAGUGUAGGAGUUCUUUUACUACUAAUGAAGCAGAAACAUCAUUUUCUUGGGUCUUGUCUGAGUGACACUAGGUUAAAAUAAACCGUGGUAUUUGUCCAUAAAAACCCUGUUGUCUCUGUUUACAGGAUCUGACAGAUCUGAAAAAGGCUGUGAGUGAAGCCAACAAGACGGAGGAGCUGCACCACACCUGGACCGACGAGCAGAUCCACCUGCUGCUGUCCACUGUGGCUGACCUGUCCCACAGACUGGCCUCUGUGGAGAACCGGUCCAACCACACGCCAAAGCCCGCCGACACCCCUUUAGUCGUCACUCACAACCCAGAGAAGACAAAUGACCCCACAACAACCAAAGCCACGCCUCAGGACGUCCCUGUGCAGGCGGCGCCCACAGAGCAGCAGACGAGCAGACAUCCACGCUUCCUCAGUCCAAAGCGCUCCAGGAGAGACGCUCGGAGGGCGUGUCUGAAGCGGCUGACUCUGCCCGGAGUCGUGACGUUAAAAGACCUGGAGGACGUCUUGCAUCGUGCAGAGGUGGGAUCCAUCCUCUCGUACCAGGACCUGCAGACCGUAUUUGGACAGCGUCUUCCCAGCGCUCACCGCGUGUCUUGUUUUGACGUUGACGGGGACGGCAGGUUCUCGUGGGUGGAGCUGAAGGCGGCGGCGGGUUUGUGAGCUCCGGUGCGACGGCUUUUGCGGUGAACAGUAUCGAAGGGUCUAUGGUGUGGACUUUUACCAAACUGUUUUUAUUGAGUAACUGCUGCACUUUGAUGAGAUGAAUAUUUAUCAACUGGACUGUGGCGACGCGGCGCUGACAAGGUCUCAAAAAUCACACGUUUUUUUCUUGCUAUUCCUGUAAGUUUUCAUUUACGCUCAGUUCAUCAUGGUAAGUGUCGUGAACCAUUCUCAUCUGUUUAUUUUUUUUACUAUAACAAACACGACUGGUACAACUUGACAACUUUUCUUUUACAGUUUUGGCUUUGUUUUAUUUUGCUCCUUUAUGUAAUGUUUUAUUUUCAUGUGGGUUUAUGUAGUUUUCAUAGACUGUUUAUAUAAAUGGACACAGCUAAUCUACAAACAGGAAGUGAUCAUGUGUGCGGCUCCAGCUCCAUCAACUCUGGCUCCAAUUCACUUUCUACUGAAAAACUGUAACUCUCUGUCUCUGCUGCUGUCAGACUCAUCAUUUUGGUCUUAAAUGUUCAUAUUAACCCUCUACAUGAUCCUGGGGUUCUUUUUC
ensembl:lncRNA